rnacentral:lncRNA from 1 species
AUGGGAGAACCGGGUUCGAUCCUGGAGUCAGGAAGGUCCCCUGGAGAAGGGAAUGGCAACCCACUUCAGUAUUCUUGCCUAAAGAAUUCCAUGGACAGAAGAGGCUCCUUCCUCAGUCCUAUAUACACAUAUAUAUCUAUAUUUUUAGGUUUCAGUAUAGCUGAGCAACUAAUACACACACACCCUCAAGCCAGAGAUGGCAGGCACUGCCUAGCUAUCCAGCCCCUUCUUAGGGAAAACCCCUUCAUGUGCACUGGCUUCUGGACAGGAGGCGGGAAUGAUGGCUCGAGAGUGUCCAGUUCUAGAUCUCUGCCAGUAAGUAGCACGGGCCUUCGUUAAUCCUGGAGCUGGUUUAAAGGCAUUCGUAUAAGACGACAGUUGGAGAAUGUGAUUUCUUUGAUUCCUCUGGCUCAGACGCUCAUUUCACUCUCACCCAGCCAACUUCAUAAACAGGCACGUGUGUUUUUCAUAUUUUAAGGUAUAAAUGGCAGGUUUCACCCAUUCUACUCUUAUAAUGAGAAAGUGAAAGUCGCUCAGUCUUGUCUGACUCUUUGCGACCCCUUGGACUAUACAGUCCAUAGAACUCUCCAGGCCAGAAUACUGGAGUGGGUAACCUUUCCCUUCUCCAGGGGGUCUUCCCCACCCAGGGAUCGAACCCAGGUCUCCUGCAUUGUGGGCGGAUUCUUUACCAGCUGAGCCACCAGGCAAGCCUCAGUUUAAAGAGAAAUUUUGUGAUAAAGCACUUCAGAAUUUGAAACAUUUUCUUGAAAUAGCAUAGUUUUAAAACUCAUCAACAAGAGUUUUGAAAGGUAAAACUUGCAAACCUUUCAAAAACUUUCACUGCCCUACACAGAAAGGUAAAAGCCUGGAAGUUUAAAAGGACACAGGGCUCCUCGGCACCUCCCCUUGGGACAGGGAGCUGAACUUUGUGGCAAGCUUCAGCAGUUGCGUUACAGUCACUUACAGCUGCAUGGGGACCCCGCGACCCACACCCUCACCCCUUGUUGUCUCUGUUACGUUUGCCAAAACAUCAUAUGCAGUUUCUGCUCCAGAAGCCCAGGCCCAAUGUCAUACUGGAAGAAUCUGGUUCUUGUGCCAGCUCUCUUUGGUACAAUUUUUCAAUUUCAGAAAGAUUAAAACAGACAGCCACUAAAGCCAGUCACGUAGCUGCUUUAGAAAAACAGCUAGAGAGCUAAUUUGCGGUAGAAAUCUUCAGUUCCAUUCAGAAGGUGCAAAAGAUGAAAAAAAAAAAA